rnacentral:lncRNA from 1 species
ACAAGUGAAGGAGAGUCCUGGAUUUCAUGUCUACAAUGACAGCUAGAAGUUUUCCGAUUUUUGUAGCCAUUUUACUUCUUGUUGCGAUGCAAUCACGCACCAUUCAAUCAAAACCAAGUGGAGAUCCUUUUGGGUUCAUCAAACACCUGGAGGGAUGCCACAAGAAUGAAUCUGUCAAAGGGCUUCAUGAGCUAAAAAGAUAUCUUGAGAAAUUUGGAUACUUGAAGUAUGAUCAUCAAGGAAAGAAGGGCCAUGACCAUGCCAAUGACGAUGAGUUCGAUGAUCUUUUAGAGUCAGCAAUCAAGGCAUACCAGCAGAACCAUCAUUUGAACGUUACAGGAAGCCUAGACAACAGUACAGUGCACGAAAUGAUGCAGCCUCGAUGUGGCGUGCCAGAUGUUGUCAAUGGCACAAAGCAUUACCAUACUCACAAGUCCAUCCACACACUGGCUCACUACAAUUUCAUUCCUGGAAAUCCUAGAUGGACAAAACGGCAAUUGACGUACACGUUUCGUUCCAGUGUCCAAGUCCCGGCUGCACAGAACAUAAGGUCCAUCUGCGCAAAAGCUUUUCAAAGAUGGGCACAGGUCACGGAAUUCACUUUUCAGGAAGUUACCGGUAGCUCCCCUGCAGAUAUUGUAAUCGGAUUCCAUCGCGGAGACCAUAACGAUGGUUCCGCCUUCGACGGUCCUCAAGGGGUCUUAGCCCAUGCUACUUCACCAGCUAGGAAUGCAAUGUUCCAUUUCGAUGCGGAUGAAAAAUGGAGUGAAAACCCAGGACCUAACCAGAUGGACCUGGAAUCUGUAGCCGUGCAUGAAAUAGGACAUCUUCUCGGUCUCGACCACAAUGAUGAUCCAAAUGCCGAUGCCAUCAUGUCUUCCAGAAUUUCUUUUGGGAUUGCGAAAAGGGAUUUGCGUGCGGAUGAUAUUCAGGGUGUACGAGCUUUAUACGGAUUCGCUAAAUGAAGCACGUACGAAAGGAGAAUGAUGCUUGCAGUUUCUAUUAUCUAAAUUAAGAAUAAAUUUCCAUCAGUUUCUAGUUACGAAUUUGUGUUUAAUUAGGCCAUCCUGAUCGAUCUUAGAGAGGUGGUUAGAGUCUUUAUUUGCAAGUUUCUCCUUGCAAGCCUAAGACUAUUUUGUAAACCAUUUCUUCAAGAUUGUAAAUAAAUUAUGUUGGCAAAAUACAAAUAAAAGCUGAUUAUUUGGACGAGUCUCUUCAAGGUCUAUUUGUGCAGCCAGCCAGCCGCAUGCUGUCUGUGUCACAGAGCAUUACCGCAGGCAUAAUAAUUCCAUCCAUACUGUACUCUAUAUUUUGAUCCGACGAAACCCAAGAUGUCCACCAGAGAAAAGACAUUUAAUUAAUGUAUAUGAAUUGGGAUCGGUUCUAGCUAGUGGUCAAGUCCAUCGCACAGACGCACACAGAGCAUAACGUCUAUCGGCUGCAAUCUGUGGAGAAGCUUUUCAAAUACAGAGACAAGUUUGCCCAAUUUGUUUUGAUAAUGCACAAAUCGAAUUGCCAUAUGCAAACCCUCUCUCCCCCACAACUCGAACAAUUAUUAUUUUUUUCAUUGAACACUUCCACGGAUUUUUUCUUGGCUUGGUGCGAGCAACAAAGUACAAACGUAGCUAUCUUGCUUAUACUGAACAAGAAGACCACCUCAGCUUAACUAUGAAUUAUCCCUCUUGUAUUAUUUGGAUGUCGUUUCAAGGCACUUGAGCCAUUAAAAACGGUGAGCAUGAACCCUAUGAACUUUUUUCUUUAUUGAAAGAAAAAAAAUCAUCACAAAUAAUUACCUAUUCUCUCGAGGUAUUAUUUUUAAUUGCUAGGUAAACUGCAUGCUUUCAUCAUCAUUAUCUAGAAUCUGAAUUUAAAGAAAGGCUAUAAGAAAAAAAAAAUCUCAUGAACAGAUAGGUAUGGAUAUGACUGACCUGUUUUAAGAACCAAUCAAGAAAAAAAAUUAAUCUCACGCAUGAAAACUUUCUCUGAUACCUGCCCGAUGGAGAAAAUAAUAAUUGAGUGAUGUGGAAUGGUUUUAGGAUUUCAGCCACACAUUUUAACGAAAAGGCUAAAAAAUAUCAUCACAUCACACUAUACAUUGAUUCCAGUCUAUUCAACUAAUGAAAGAGGAACCUUCAUCAUCAACAAAUAAAAAAUUUGUGAAGAAUUUUUAAAAUUAUUUUAUUAUAUUGAAAGAAACAAAAUAUUUAUGUAUUGAAGUGAAAUUUGUAUAAUUGGUCCAAUAAUAACGAAAACCUCUACAUCACUACGUAGUUUCAAUCAAUUCAUGAAUUCAGUAUAUUCAACUUUUUGAUUUCCUUUAUCUGUUGUUAAAUUUAUCAGUAAUUUUAUUAUUAAUAAAUUUAUUAAUAAAUUAAAAAUCACCGAUAAUAAUUUUUUUAAUGAAAUAUUUCUGUACGUCCGUGAAUAAAUGUAAAUGUAAAGAUUCUGUUAGUGUCACGAUGUUCAAUAAUUGAAAGAAUUCAGUCCAUACAUGACAAUAUCCAUGGAAAAGUUGAAAACCAUACCUUAACAUCUCUGAUUGAAAUGUUAAAACGUCAACGACAUGUUAGCUUUCUGUCAAUUUAUGCUUGAAAAAACAUAAUGGAUACCCUUAGGAGAUCAUAUCUUCUGGUUGGGGCAUUAUAUAUUUAUGUACGUGGAGUUUCAUGAUCAUACCUGAAGAAGUCCUAACCAAUUGAAGGAGGCUUCCAAGUAUGGCAGAAAAAACCUUCAAAUUUCUAGUAUCCCUUUUUCUUCUCCUAGUGAUUCUGAUAAAAUUUGUCCAGUCAGAACCAACUGGGCACCAUCCAUUCAAAUCCAUCCUGAACCUUGAGGAAAGCCAAAAAGGUCAAUCUGUUUCCAAGCUGCACCUUGUAAAACAGUAUCUGAAGAAAUUUGGAUACUUGGAUUAUGAUCUUUCAAGUAGCAAGAACCUGAACCAGGUUGACGAUGACGAGUUCGAUGACCAUUUGGAGUCUGCAAUCAGAACCUACCAGCAAAACUUUCAUUUGGAAGUCACUGGAAGGCUAGACAAACGUACUGUGAAUCAAAUGAUGAAGCCUAGAUGUGGCGUGGCUGAUAUCUUCAAUAGCACAAAGCACCGCAAUACUUCCAAGUCUUCUGAUGGGGUGGCCAAUGCUGACUAUUCGUUCUUCCCUGGAGCCCCCAGAUGGUCCAAAAACCAUUUGAAGUACACGUUUGGCGCAACCGUCCAAGUCGCCGGUGCAGAGAGUAUAAGGUCCGUUUGCAAACAAUCCUUUCAAAAAUGGGCACAAGUUACUGACUUCACGUUCGAAGAAGUGCCUAAUUCUGACGAUGCUGAUAUUAAAAUCGCCUUUUACCAACUAGACCACGGAGAUGAUGAACCAUUUGAUGGCCCUGGAGGAAUCUUUGCCCAUGGUUUUAGACCAACUAUCGGGAUGCUCCAUUUUGAUGCUGAUGAAACUUGGAGCAGCAAUCCUGGACGUCAAGAGCUAGACCUGGAAUCCGUCGCUGUGCAUGAAAUAGGUCACUUACUCGGACUUGGUCACAGCGGAGACCAUCCAGAUGCAAUCAUGUAUCCAUACUUUGAUUAUGGAAAGACAAAAAGGAGUCUGCAAGAGGAUGACAUCGAAGGUAUCCGUGACCUCUAUGGACUUUGAUUAAAAGCCACAUAUCACUAAAAGAUUAUUAUGGCCUGCUGUUGUAUUAGCAAAUAAAGGAUUUGUAAGUGGAUUUUAAAAUAUGUGAAGAAGUCACUUCCACAUAAUCUUAUCUCCUUGUAAUCGUAGAAUAAUUGCAAUUGAAGUUUUCCAGCCUGCAUGUUUCUUUCUAGAUAUAAUUAGUGUUCAGGAAUUUGGAGUUUGACAGAAGCCUAUUUUGCUAACCAGAUUUUAAUUUUUCGAGUUCUGCAAUCAACCAAAAGAGCAGUGGCAAUUAGAACUAAAUUCGGAAAAUUUAUCUGUAGGAAGCUGGGGGCAUUCUCUCUUCUUCUAACAUUAAUAAGAAUUCUAAGCCCCCCAAAUCACCUGCUAUUAUGCAGCACAGAUGGUCGAAACCCAGAUGAAGUUAGCACGAGUGGUCCAAUAAUAUUACAAAACCUCUACAUCAGUACCGAAGUUUCAAUCAAUUCAAGCUGUCCAAUAAUUUAGCCCAUGAAUGACAAAACCUGCCGCAAAACUGAAAACCAUACCUUAACGACUCUUAUGGAAAUGUCAUAAUAAGCACAUCAACAGCAUGUUAGCUUUCUGUCAAUUUAUGCCUGAAAAAUCAUACUGGAUACCUUUACGAGGAUAUUAUCUCCUGGUUCAGGCACUGUAUAUUUAUGUGGAGUUUCAUGUUCAUACCUGAACAAGCCCUAACCAACUGAAAAGAGGCUAGCUCCCAAGUAUGGCUGAAAACAAAGUACUCGAAUAUGCUCCUUUUAUAUAUAUAUAUAUAUGAACUUGCACAUCACACUAAAAUGUGAUUUACUUCACAGCUGAUACAUUAAAAAUUAAUUUCACUAAUCACAUUCUUCUCUAUAACAUAAACUUGAAAAAAAUCUUUAAAAAAUAAGAACAAGUUUGAUAGAUAACGUAUUUUCGCCGACUCAAAUUGAAUAAAAUUUGAAAUUUAUUUUAAAUAAAAAGAUUUACUAGAAAACAAAAUCGAUUAAAUUACUUAAAUAGUGGAAAUCAAUUCCAGCAUAAAAUUGGUUUCGAAAGGCAGCAAAGGGACAACAAUAAUUUGACUCAUCGAGCCACUAGAGAUGAUUAUCUCCGGUGACUCAUUAACGGCUGUUAAUUAAUACUGGAGUCUGGGCCUCUAAUUCCUUUUUCUGUUUUCUGCACCUACUUGGGCUGACGUAGAGCCCAUACACCUGCCUUUCUGUAAGGGUUUUUUUUGGUGAAAACCCAGAUUCAACAUCUAAAAAGAUUGUUAGUGGAUAAAAGCCCAACUGCAGGCUCUAGCAUACAAAAGAUAGGCACUGAGCAAAAUGGGUUGGCCAGUAAAGAAAGGGAAAAAAAGAAAAAAUUUGUUAUAAAGAAUUUGAAGCAUUGCUGGUGCGUAGGAUUGCAGGUGGUGGCUGUGAUUUAAAGUUUUUUUUUUUUGUUUAAAAAUAUAUUAAAAUGGAUAGUUUUUAGUUUUUAAAAAUUAUUUUUAAGAUUAAUGUAUUAAAAUAUUUUUUUAAAAAAUAUUUUUUAAUAAAAUAAUUUUAUUUUAUUUUUAAAAAAAUAUAAUUUCAACAACGAUUUCUAAAACGUCUUUAAAUCAAUCCAGGAUUACUACGUCAACUCAUGCAGACUAACAAAUAGAAAAAAAUAAUAUUUUUUUGACAAAAAUUGAAUUGAAAAACUAUGUUUACACGGCAAACUCGUAAUGAAGACUUGCUACUUGACUUGUCUGUUUUCCCACACUGUGGAAAUUCUAGAACAUGGCUCAAAUUCUCUCCCCAAAACAAUAAUACAUAAUUAAAAAAUAAAGGCAUAAGGAAUCACGGAACCCAUGGAGAAAACUUAAUCAAAACCCCUUUCCUGGAUAACAAUAGUAUACUAAAUCAAGUAUAAAGAACCGGGUACAUGAAAUAUUGAUACAAGAAACUCAACAGCUCGAGCUUGGAAAGAACGAAGAAAGGACUCAUGAAUUCUAUAUUUUGGUCAUACAAACAAGAGUUUUAAUUCCAUAUUCCAUGCUUUAGGUUCUAUCAAGGAAGACUUGACAAAUACUACAAUCAGAGACAAUUUAGUGGUCCAUCGGAAGAAUUAAAACUUACGAAAAAAAGAAGAAAAAAGGAGUGAAUUUUUAUGAUUCCACAAAUUUACAUUUUCAAAAUUUAGAAAAACAACGUCUGGACGCGUUUCCAAACCAAACCUUAAACCCACUUAACGGGCAAAAAGACUUGCCCCGUUCAACAAGGAAGCUAAAAUGUCGAGAUUGGAAGGGAACUGCCCUGCAGGAGGGCUAUAUAAACAAGCCAGAUUAUCAAUGUCUAGCAUCCAUAAGUUCUCCUCUCGAACCCACAAGUGAAGGAGAGUCCUAGAUUUCAUGUCUACAAUGACAGCUAGAAGUUUUCCGAUUUUUGUAGCCAUUUUACUUCUUGUCGCGAUGCAAUCACGCACCAUUCAAUCGAAACCAAGUGGAGAUCCUUUUGGGUUCAUCAAACACCUGGAGGGAUGCCACAAGAAUGAAUCUGUCAAAGGGCUUCACGAGCUAAAAAGAUAUCUUGAGAAAUUUGGAUACUUGAAGUAUGGUCAUCAAGGAAAGAAGGGCCAUGACCAUGCCAAUGACGAUG